AAUAAAAAUUCCCCAAUCACCCAAUCAAUAAACACAAUUAAACAUUAACCAUCACAUUUUCAAUCAAAUUAAUCAAUAAUUUUUCUAAUUAAAUAUUACUCGAAUUUAGUUUUUGACAAAAAUUAAAAUAAUAUGACUUUUAUUUUUAAUAAUAACACAUUUUAAUAUUUUAAAAUAAUUAAAAAUUUUAUGAAUAUAAAAAAUUAAACUUCAUUAUUUUGAUAAAAAAUUGUGUUUUUUAAAAGCAGUUUUUAUAAAUUUUUGUAGCUAGUAUUAAUUUUUUUAGUAAUUUUUAUUUUGAUUAAGAGAAAAAGAUAAAGGAGAUGAAUGGAAAAAGAAAAGGGAGAAAGAGGGUAAAAUAGUAAUUUUAUUUUGAUAAGUUGGCUCACAAUGAUUUUUUUUUUGUCAAUAAUGAUUACAAUGAUUGUAGGAUAAAAUUGCAAUUAUUUAAUAAAUUUCGAUACCAAUUUGUUAAAAUUAAAUUAAGGGAUUAAAUUGGUAAUUAGGUUUUAAAUUGUAUAGUUAAAUAUUUAUAUUUGCAAAGGAGAAGGUUAACUAAAUAAUGAAUUUACAUCCAUUUCAAAUAAGAAUAUAUCUAAAUUGAUCAUUGUAUCAAAGUAAAAUUCUUUCAUUUCAAAUAAUUACUUAUCCAAACUCAACCUUUAAUUGAAUAAACAAUGAUUUAGCUGGUAAUGAUUUAGCUGGUAAUGUUUAAUUGCAUGUUGUAGAAUUUCUUGAUUAAAAGAAAACAAUUUUAUGAAAUGAAUCAUUUUAUGUGCA
rnacentral:misc_RNA from 1 species